AAGCACCAUAUCUAAGUGGUGUCACAUGUAAGUGCCAUCUCUUGUCCUCGGGACAAAAUGCCCGGGGGAGGGGGACAGAAGCUUAAGGAAGGAGCGGCUUAUUCUGGCUCACAGUCUGAGGAGAUCCAGUCAUCCUGGUUGAAAGGAAGGGCGGCAGGAGCAGGUGGCUGACUGGUCUGAUUGCUUGUGCUGCCAGGAAACAUGCAGCUGAGCAGGAUAUUGAUUGGACCAGGCUACAGAAAUUCAACACCUGCCCAGAGUGACCCACUUCUACGGAGGCUCCCCCACUUAAACAUUCUGCAACCUUCCAAAUCGCCACCAGCUGGAACCAAAUGUUCAAGUACUUGAUCCCCUGGGGGACAUUUUACAUUCAAACCUCAGCCUGUGGGAUAGAUGCUCAGUUGGAAAGCAAGCGCCAAGGCAGAGCAGCUGGAGCUUGCGGUGAUGGGGCAGGCUGUUUCUUAGGGAGAUUGCUCUAAUCUAAGAGGGAGCAGGAAGCCAAAGCCGGGAGAAGAUAGAAGAACUGGGAAAAUAGAUCCUGUAAGAACAAAAGAGAAGCCAUUGAAAGAAGUAAAAGAAAGCAUCCUUCCAGGUUCUGGAGAUGCAACAGUGAGCAAAACAGAUGCCUAGCUCUCGUGGGAAGGAGACAGUAAGCCAACAGGCGGAUGAGCAUGUAAAAACAUCAGAAGAGACCACAGUUGGUAACGAGGCAAAGUCGGAGAUUGGCAUAAUAUGUUGUUUUGCAAGACCCACAGGAGAAGAGCAUAAAGCCGGUGUUCCUUGGACAGGCAGGCAGCCUGGUCCAAGUGCAUCUAUAAACCGUAACCGCCCACACCCAAAGGCAGCGUGUAAGACAAAAAAAGCAGUUUAGAAGAUUCCCAUUAGCAAGGAUAAAAGAGGACCACUAUGGGCCAGAUGAAAGGGACUCAUCUCUACCCAGGGCACUGAGCACUGUUUAAGCACUCUUAAAGUCGGCUAAUACUAACGAUCAGCCCUCAUUGUAAGCACUCCCUCUGAUGUUCAUUUUCCAGUAAAUAAGCAAAGAUGUUGGGGGAUGGGCUAUCUGACUUCCUAAUUGGCAGCUGUUGGACUCUCCUUUGUUGCCCUGGCCGCCUUGAGCAAAAGGACUGUCAAUCAAAAGCCAGCUGGACUACACUUAAUGCCAACACUGGCUGUGUCGAAUACUCCACAGGCGCUUUGAGAGGACAACGCUCUGAAUGCAGCUGGCUGUUCCUGCACCUGAAGGGGUGGCCUCGGCCAGGGCUGUUCAAACAGACAGCAACUGGACUGUUUGGUAUCACAAGCCUCAGUGAACUCAGGUUACCCUGUAACCACUUCCAACCUAAGCCAGAGGGGGAGUGCCAUGGAGAGAAAAGCGGCUGUGACUAGGGCUAAAGAGACAGGGCUCUGAUUGGUGCAAACACAAACCCUCAUUUGCAUGUGGUUUGCUCUGAUUGGAGCAAGCUCCCCUCCCUCCUCUAGCUACAGAAGCAGGCAAUUUAGUAAGCAUCCUGGCAGACGCACCUUCUUGUACUGCCUUCCCAUGUAGCAAUGUUAUGCCCAAUAAAAGGCUUCUCUUGAGUGA